GACAAAUUAUACAAGCUACUCAAUUAAAAAACCCUCCUACCAACUUCGGUCAAUUUGUAUAACCGGACAUGUACAAACAGAAUGACAGUUAAAUAAACAGGACAAGUGUGACAAUUGCUCAGUUGUGCAAAAUAAUAUGUAUCGUUGACCCAAUGUGGUUUUGAAAAAUAUUUCAACUUCAGCUAAGUUCUAAGAACGGCCAUCUAAUGAUUUGGACGUCUGCAUUGUGGUUUAUGAUUGCUGUUUUGGCGUAUUCAAAGUCUUUCAGUGGUUAGUAUCUAAUUACAAUCAUUAAAAUAUUUAUACUAAAUACUAUUAAUGUUUAAAAUA